CUCCCUAUAAAAUGCUACAACGUAAUCCAAGACUCUACACUCAGAAUUGUCGUAGAAAUUUUCAGAAGAGAGAGAGAGAGAGAGAGUGAACAAGAUAAGACUGUGAAGAAGCCUUCUUCUACCAGCCCCAGGUUCCAGAGAUGGCAUUGGUGCAUAGUGCCCUGACAUCCGUUGUGUGCAAGAAUGGCAAUCAUUCUUCUGCCGCAAAGCUCCCGAGUACUACAUUCUUGCCUGGUUUUGAUGCUGUCGGGCGUAUUUCAAGUCCAUAUAAGAAGGAAAUAUGCCUCAAUGCCCUGAGUUCAGGUCCUAGAGCCACAUUAACCUUUGAUCCCCCAGCAACUAAUUCAGAGAAAGCCAAACCACCAAGGCACACAGUUGAUCCUGCUUCUCCUGAUUUUUUGCCUCUUCCAUCCUUUGAACAAUGUUUUCCAAAGAGCACAAAAGAACACAGAGAAGUUACUCAUGAAGAAACUGGUCAUGUGCUCAAAGUUCCCUUUCGACGAGUCCACUUGGCUGGCGAUGAACCAGCAUUUGACAACUAUGAUACCAGCGGUCCACAAAACAUUAGCCCACGCGUUGGACUACCUCAACUGCGGAAAGAUUGGAUUGAAAGGCGAGAUAAAUUAGGUGGACCAAGAUACACUCAGAUGUACUAUGCUAAGCAGGGAAUUAUAACUGAGGAAAUGUUGUACUGUGCCACUCGGGAGAAGCUUGAUCCAGAGUUUGUGAGAUCAGAAGUCGCUCGUGGGAGGGCAAUUAUCCCUUCUAAUAAGAAGCACUUGGAGCUGGAGCCAAUGAUUGUUGGAAGAAAGUUUCUAGUCAAAGUUAAUGCAAACAUUGGAAACUCUGCUGUUGCCAGCUCUAUUGAAGAGGAAGUUUACAAGGUCCAGUGGGCAACUAUGUGGGGUGCUGACACUGUUAUGGAUCUCUCUACAGGACGCCACAUACAUGAGACCCGUGAAUGGAUCCUACGUAACUCCCCUGUGCCAGUAGGGACUGUCCCCAUUUAUCAAGCACUUGAAAAAGUGAAUGGAAUUGCAGAAAAUCUCAACUGGGAAGUAUUCAGAGAAACUCUCAUUGAACAAGCUGAGCAGGGUGUAGAUUACUUCACCAUCCAUGCUGGGGUUCUACUACGGUACAUCCCAUUAACAGCAAAACGUAUGACAGGAAUUGUUUCACGAGGAGGAUCCAUUCAUGCAAAAUGGUGCUUAGCUUAUCACAAAGAGAAUUUUGCUUAUGAACAUUGGGAUGACAUACUUGACAUCUGCAAUCAAUAUGAUGUAGCCCUGUCAAUAGGUGAUGGGCUGAGACCUGGUUCCAUUUAUGAUGCCAAUGACACUGCACAGUUUGCAGAGCUCUUAACUCAGGGAGAACUGACCCGUAGGGCAUGGGAAAAGGAUGUACAGGUAAUGAAUGAAGGACCUGGACACGUUCCAAUGCACAAGAUUCCUGAGAACAUGAAAAAACAGCUUGAAUGGUGUAAUGAAGCACCUUUCUACACUCUCGGUCCUUUAACAACUGAUAUUGCACCUGGAUAUGAUCACAUCACCUCUGCCAUUGGUGCUGCCAACAUUGGUGCUCUAGGCACUGCCCUUCUCUGUUAUGUAACCCCAAAAGAGCACCUUGGGUUGCCAAAUAGAGAUGAUGUGAAGGCUGGAGUUAUAGCAUAUAAGAUUGCUGCUCAUGCAGCUGAUCUAGCCAAAGGUCACCCGCAUGCUCAAGCCUGGGAUGAUGCAUUGAGCAAGGCAAGAUUUGAGUUCCGGUGGAUGGACCAGUUUGCUUUGUCAUUAGACCCUAUGACUGCCAUGUCCUUCCAUGAUGAAACACUGCCAGCUGAUGGUGCCAAGGUGGCCCAUUUUUGCUCCAUGUGCGGUCCAAAGUUCUGUUCGAUGAAGAUAACAGAGGAUGUGAGGAAGUAUGCUGAAGAGCAUGGCUAUGGGAGUGCUGAGGAAGCUGUGAUACGUGGAAUGGAUGCUAUGAGUGCUGAGUUUCUUGCUGCCAAGAAAACUGUCAGUGGGGAACAACAUGGUGAAAUUGGAGGGGAAAUUUACUUGCCAGAAAGUUAUGUAAAAUCCGCAGAGAGGUGAAGGAUCGCAUAAAUAACCAGAAGCGGUUUGACAACCCUGGAUGGAGGCUUUCGUCCACGAUUGGCUUGUCCGCAACGGAGAUCUUAGGUUUUCAUUUUCAUGCUAUGGGGUGCCUGUAUCUGCUCGAGCACUAGCUUUUUGGCUAGGAUGCGAGCAAGCCAGGCUGAGAUAGUCCCUUUGAACCUGAACAGGUUAAUACCUGCGUAGGGAGUGUGCAUUUCUUUUUCCUGUUUCUUCUGUGCUUGCACAGGGAGAGAGAGGGCUUUCGUCCGGGGUUCGGGCUAGCUGAUAACAUCGUGGCCAAGCCGAUCAAUUGUGGCUGGGAGUAACUGAGUGGCAAUUCUGUGAUACUUUCUGUGAUUUAAGGGGGCUUUGCUAAACUCGAAAAUAAGGCCUAUAACUCCUCCAUCCACUUGCUAUCAAGUAUAUGCUGAACCUCAUUCUUUUGUUUUUUCUUGUCUAGUUCCUCAAAA